ensembl:lncRNA
UCCUUUAGGAGCUGAAUUGAAAGUUGACAACUGCUGACUGCUCAGCUCUUUGAAAAACCCGGCCUGGAGAUACUUAGCAUACUGAUUGCCUUUUGCUCAAAGUCUUACAUCAUUUACAGCAUUAGUUGCUUAUGUCUAGCAACAGCUUUGAGGAAGAGCUGGUCACUAGUUUUUUCAUUUUACAGGUGAAGAAACAAAGGCAAAAUGUACCUGUUCUAACAAUAAGCCUAGAGCAAAAGCUAUCACAGACCCAGAUUUCCCCAGUCUCCUGUGCUUUCUUAAAAGCUAACAGUAGAAAUGUGAAUGUUUAGAAGAUGGCAACAUUUCAGUGCCCUAAGGAAGACUGAAGGCACACAGUUGAGAGGUAUGCAGAAAUAAGAAAGAUCUGCUAUUGCCUAUGUGAAUUUGAAGAUCCAUGCCCAUUUCCUAGGGAGAUUCUGCUUUAAGAACAUCCACCAAGGUAAUGAGGACGCUUUACUACAGCAUUACUAAAACCCCACUAUGACUGGGAAACACUUCCAGCUACAUUCAGCUGCAGACAAUCAGUCAUCAGAGAUGCUUCAUGGCACAUCUACACGACUCUCUUCCCCAGGCUUCCCAGGCCUGAAAUGCAGAGAAGUAUUGGACAUUCAGCCUGAAAAUCCAGCCAACAAUCUCUGUGCUUCAAUUCAUUCUACAGAACAUAUCUUUGUACAGAUUUACAGGCCUAGAACUCAGUAAACAGCAUCUCUAUGCAAGUUUCUAGCAGUCAUCUUCUGGAAUUUCAGUUUCAUUUGCAUUUUUACCAUCAUAUAACAACUCCAGACAGAACCACCACUGGAGUUUUUCAGAAAGAAUUAGUGGUAUUUAUUUGGCAUCCAACUUUUGGGGAUUAAAUGAGAGCAAAAAUCUCAAACUCUGACAUAGAUUACCCCUGAUGCAUCCUUUCUAACCUCUGGCUGUGGACAUACUUCCUAGUAAACCAAGUGCAUGCAGAGACCUACUCUUACAUUCACUCAAUCCAAAAGACCAAUUCAAGAACAUACGUGACACUUAGCUAUGAAUGCAAAAAAUUUUUAAGGCUGUCAAAUAACUCUGCCUACACUGACUGCUUGAGCUAACAGGGUUUUCAACAGUGAAGUCAAGACCUGGCACAGUGUAUCAUACACCUUCACUAGAAACUCUUUAAUCUGAGGGAAAAAGGUAAUCAAAGCAAGUUGUAUGAAGUUUAUUUAUCAGUAAGAAUUGUAACUGUUGUAUUAUUUAUGCUUUAUUACUCCGCAAGACAGAUUUUCACUGUCCAAACUAUCUGAGCAAAUUGUUUCUGCUGUGGCCAUAUGAGCUGUUACUGACUUUUGCUCUUCCAGAUUGCUAACUCUUGGAAUAAGAGCAAUAGUAAGAGACAGUAUCUACCUGCAAACAUGUAGCAAAGUGCCCAGAAUCAUCAUUUUUAGACAGAGAAUUAGGAAACUUAAAUUAAUGAUUAGUCAUAAAACUGUUACGAACUUAGGGUUACUUGAACAGCGUUACUUCCAUAGCAUACAUCACCAUACAUGCAUGUAAAUCUAUUCAUAAUAAGCCAAUUAUUCCUGUUUACUCACUGGAUAUAAAAGCAUUCUGGUGGUUUUUCUGCUUGUUUUCCCCAUUUACACAUCAUGAUCUCUUUUCCUUUUACAUGACUGGUGAAGAUGAAGCUCCUUCAAUCUUUUAUACUGGGAGUGUUUCUUUGAAAUAAGUAUCAAAAUCAGCCACAUUCUUCACAAUCUAACAUCAAAGUAUUGGAGGUUGGUGGGGUUUUUCUUGUGGCUGUUUUAUGGCUUUUUUAUUUAAUUAAGCUAGGAAAGAAGACCGCACAGUAGAAAAAAAUCGCUUCAGGAAUUUUUUUUUUCCCCCAGUAUACUCGUGCAAAGCUUCAUCAGAACAAAAAGCAUAAAUAACAGAUACAUAACUACAGUAAAAUAUUGGCUAUGCAGGCUUAAUUUCCUCUGGGUGCCUAAAGAACAGCAUGAAUAAACUUCAGCUACUGUAACACAGAGUAGAAAAAUGAAUUUGAAUGUAAGGCUCCUUUAUGACUGGAAACUAUUACCUGCAGGUUUCACUUAAAUAGGUCCCUAAAGGCAAGCAAGAGGCUGUUUCCAUAUGUAUGGGUUCUGCUGGACAAAGGCUAGCUGGACUGACCAUUUAGAGCAGCCUGCCACUUAUGACAAAGUGCUUCCUCCUGGAUACUGGGGAGAAGGGACAUUUGCCAGUUCGCCAUUGGCCUGCAGUACGCUUAUGAAGUUGCAGUAGAUUUUGCUAAUCGCCCCUGCUCUCUCCAACAGACUUUAGUAAGCAGACACCUUGUCAAAGUUUCCAUGUUGCUCUGAAAAAAUAAACAAACAGGACUACGACCUUUGGCACAGGAGAACACACGUGCAAGUCUGUAUUAAUGAACCCUACUCUGCACCCCUGUGAAACAACUACUAGCCAGACAACAGGGAAACGUUUGAUAAUCUCUCCAAGCUAGGAGCUGGUACCUUAUCUGUCACUGAAAACUGCUUCCCUCUUUGUAGCUCUACACAACCAUAGUUGGUCUGUGCGGCUUGAUGCCAUACCAUUUUCAUCAUGACAAAUGCAUGUCCAAACGUGGGAUACUAGGUACACAUGGUUCUGCAGUUAAAGCAAAGCUACCAGUUGUCCCAAUGCAACAUGAUCCUGCAAGCAGAUUAGUGAAAGACUAUUAGUAAAAUGCUCUGCAACAUCACCACUCUUUUUUACUCUGAAUUCAGAAAGUUACCAUCAGCCUCUAUAUUAUCUACUUAUAAUUUAAGUCCCUCUAUCUUCUCAAAUAUCCCAAAUUAAUGAAAACUGCUGGGUGAAAGAAAAUCUUAUGCCUACAACACAAGUGUGUCACCUUCAAUACUCACACAGCCUUCUUCCUACAGAAUCUUUGUGAAAAAUUUAUUACUGUUUGGAAAUGUUCAUCAUAAGUGGGAAGCUGCUUAUUAAACAGUUGAUAUUUUAAAGUUCUGUUUUGUUUUUUAAUGGUAUGUUACACAAAAUGCAAUUCUUUCUCAGGU